rnacentral:lncRNA from 1 species
AAAUGUACCGUAAAUCUAUACGGAUGUCCUUCAACUGCUCGUCGAAAUCCUUUUUGCCCUAGCCGGUAGGUCUCUAGACGUUAUAGAGAACUCCAAACAACCCAAUCUGCUAAUCUCCGAUACCGCUUUAUACUCAUGACCUUGUAUCCACUGACUGUCUUGUUAGAUUAAUCCAAAAAUUUUCAUUUACUCCGCAUACUCAAUCCUAUAGACAUCCUUUUAAUUCUUCAAUCACAAACGUAACUUCAAUUUCACAAAACAGUCAAGAGUAAUCACAC